GGAUAUAACUCAAUUUGGUAGAGUAUUAGUUUGUGAUUCUAAAGGUUUGUGAGUUCGAGUCUCACUAUUC
rnacentral:ncRNA from 11 species